GUGUAGUUAGGGGACAGUAAUUUCUCGGCUCGUGUCUAACGCAAUGCGAUGACAUUCACAGACAUCAUCAUGUGCGGUGGCAUUACCAUACUACGUUCAAAAUUCCAGUUUGUGUCUCAAUCCCUGUCAAAAGUUAUAGACAGAUGUCGUUUUGUGGGACAGAUGUGUAACUUAAAAGUUUUGCACAAGAUUAUGACUGCACAAUCGGUGCAUUUGGACAGGACCACAAAUAACAGGUAGUUGGGAUUGUGAUCUAGAUGCUAGUAAAAUUAAUAUCUGCAAAUAUUAGGAGAGGUUGAUUGGUAGCAUUUGUAACGCGGCAUUACGUGCAAUCGGUUGCAACCAGCACGCGUGGCUAGCAAGUGAAAUUUGGUACACUACCCACUGAUGCAGUACAAUAGACUUAAUGGAAACGGCUAAUCUUGUCUUAUGAACAAAAUAUUUCUGACACAUAGACACGUACUGGUUAAAAUUAAGACAACAAUAAAAUUGUAUCGAGGGAGAUGUGGAGUAGGCUACUGGCAGCAGGGUUAGAUCUGUGGCGGAAAUGUGACUACAACUUAAUUUUUUUUUUUUUUUAAACCCUAUCACCCAUAUUUUGGUUUGAAUAAUGCAUGGCUGUUGCUGUAAAUUGUACUUUACCCAUUUAAACUGUCAUGUUACAAUUGUCUUCGGCCAGUGUUACACCGUCGGACAGUUGUAAUAAAGGCACUCAAAGUAAGGCAGAUGUGCUUGAAUUAGUGAAGUAAAUAUAGAGACGAGAGGUGCAUGUUGCAUACACGUUAAAUUAAAUAAGUGUCUUCUGCAACAAGGCAAAACUAAAAGUGUUACAACUGUACCCGGUCUCCCCUUGUCCGAUGCUGUUUUCUUCAGCCCUAUGCUAGUUAACGUGACAAACUAUUUUUAUAUACCACUGCUGUUUUUGAUUAACGGCCUCCUGGUAGUGUUCAACUCAUAGCCGAGCUUUGGCUUUAUCGUAUUCCACAGGGCUCUCGAAGUCCCCACAGAGUCUGAUAACCACGCGCUGGCACGGAGGGGGAAUCAUAUCACUCCCAUCCCAUCCCUUUCCGUCCCUUCUAUAAAGCUAAAUUAGAUCCUCUGGCUCUAUACUGCCUGUACACUGGGCAGCUGACAUCUACAGCAAAACCCUUCUGUUUAGAAUCAGCCCUCUCGCCUUGUAUUUCCGGGUGUUCUCAAUGUUUGAGGCAACAUAAAAUAUUCCAAGGAAGAACUGUUGAGACUUUUGUC
ensembl:lncRNA